rnacentral:misc_RNA from 1 species
UUUUUCUUUCACAUAUAAAUAAAUAACAAGUGAUUGUAAAAGUGACUUUUUGUUAAUAACGCCCUGCUGCAUUAGAACAUUCUUUUAUCAAUCAAAAUAGUGAACAUUUUUGUGGUCCUUCGAGUCGUGAGGGUCAUUGUGCGCGUGAACAAGAUCGCCAUUUUGUGAAAAAUUGUGUCUAAUCUUUGUCUCAAGGAGGUCGUCACGUGACCAAGUGAUCCAUUCAACAUUCAUCAAUUCAUUCAGAUUGUGCUGCACUCUGGCGGGCGGCGGGCAGAAGCAACCUAUAUUUGUCAAUAUCGGUCUUAAAACACUCGAGUCCAGGCCAAAAAAAUUGACACAAAAAAAAGAAGCGACAGGCUUAUUUCAACGUCAUCAGGCUUCUUUCAUUUUUUCUAUUGUUUUUCUACGUGUUAUUUUUUCGACAUGACGGAACAAGAUAAUUUUCAAGAAUUACAACAAUUAAAACAACAGAGAAGUUCAUUAAAAGGAAAACUCACACGUAUAUGUAAUUUCAUACAAAGUUAUAGUGCUACGAACAAUACACUUCAUGAGAUCAAGGCGCGUCAAGCCGAACUGGAGAAAAUUUUCAUUAGAUUCGACGAGUUGCAAUCUGCGAUCGAGUGCUGUGAAUGCGACGAUCCAGAACGUCAAGAGAUUUACGAGCAAGAACGACAAACUUUUGAAGACAAAUAUUACUUGGUGAAGUCGAAAAUGGACGCCUUACUAACUGGGCCUAUUAUUACCGCACGAUUGUCAACAGAUCAUCAACAGCUUAGUUCGACCUUGAAUCACGAUACCAUGUACAAGAAACCACGCGUUAAGUUACCUCAACUGGAAUUACCAAGGUUCGAUGGUGAUAUUCGGCAAUGGCCGGCAUUCAAGAAUAUCUUCAUGGCUUCCGUAGAUGACACCGACAUACCAGUGGUCAACAAAUUACAAUAUCUGAAGUCGUCACUCACGGGAGAAGCAGCGAUCCUUAUAUCCUCAUUGCUAGUGACGGAGGAAAAUUAUACCAAGGCCAUGGAAAUUCUAUCAAGAAGCCCUACCGAGCAAAUCAUGUGUGCUCAAAAUACAAAUGUCUAACAUGCCAUGGUAGACAUCACACCAGUAUACAUAUGGACAGAAAUCUACAGCAACAGCAGCCAUCAUCCAAAUCCAAGAUGCAUCCGGAAAGUGGAUAAACGCUCGAGCUCUCCUGGACGCAGGUAGCGAGGUCAACAUUGCUACCCACAGACUGGCAUCCAUGCUUCAGCUUGCAUGUAAAGGUGAUAUUUGUAAUAUUAGUGGCAUAGGUAACACCCAAAAACAAUCUCAAAUGAGUAUACAUACUAGUAUUUCUUCACGUUAUACUAACUACAAGGCUGAUCUCACAUUCAUUGUGUUGGAUAAUAUAGCAGUGCCGCUACCACACAACUAUAUACCUACACAUACCUGGCACAUACCAACUAAACAAGCACACACGCUUGCUGACCCUACUUUUUUCAUACCUAGCUCAAUUGACUUGCUUAUUGGAGCUGAGCUCUUCUACUCCAUACUACUGACAGGACGUAUAAAACUUGGUUCAUGCUUACCUUUCUUAAUUGAAACUACCCUAGGAUGGGUUGUAUCAGGUUCUUACAUUCCUGAUUCUAGUGAGCUUACUUCUGACUGCACUACACCUGUUAGCAUGCAUUUAUCACCUACUCCCACAGAUGGCAUACUCCAAUCUUUCCGGGAACAGGAGGAAGUACUGUCUACACAAAAGUUAAUCUCUCCUGAUGACAAAUACUGUGAGGAGUUGUACACCUCAACCACUACACAGAAUAAUGAUGAUAUAAUAUCUACUGCUCAAGUGGUUAAUAUUUGCUCUACAACAGGUAUUAAUUAUUCAUUUUUCUAUGAGCAUUUUAAAAGGUUUUCUAGCUAUACUAACUUGUCUAGAUCAAUUUCAUACUUAUUCAGAUUCAUACAUAAUUUGAAAAACAAGCAUAAUAAACUUACUUCUCAUUUAUCUGUUUCAGAGCUUAAACACUCACAGACUUUCAUUCUACAGGCCACACAGCAUCAUUCAUUCCAUAAGGAAAUCCA